AUCACUUGGACCUAUUGUCAAAAUGCAGAUUUUUACUCAGAUAUCUGGAGUUGGGUCUGAGAUUCUGUAUUUCAAACAAGUUCCCAGGU
rnacentral:pre_miRNA from 1 species